CCGCUAUACCCAUGUGAUGGAAGUCCCGCCCUCACUCUCACCGCUAUACCCAUGUGACUGAAGUCCCGCCCUCGCUCCCUCCUCUCCAGUUCCAAGAGAGGAGUAGAGGGUACAGGUAGGGGUAGUGGUAGUGGUAGAGGUAGUGGUAGUGGUAGAGGUAGAGGUAGAGGUAGAGGUAGAGGUAGUGGUAGUGGUAGAGGUAGUGGUAGAGGUAGUGGUAGAGGUAGUGGGAGAGUGUUAGUUGGCAGCAGUAGGGGCUGGAUGUAGGGGUUCUGAUAGCGGUUGGCUCCAAGUGUCCAGGUCACUCUCGGUCACUCUCGGUCACUAUCGGUCACUCUCGGUCACUCUCGGUCACUCUCGGUCACUA
ensembl:lncRNA